GACGGAGGAUGCAAGCGUUAUCCGGAAUCACUGGGCGUAAAGAGUCCGUAGGUAGUCAAUCAAGUCUGCUGUUAAAGAGCGAGGCUUAACUUCGUAAAGGCAGUGGAAACUGAUAGACUAGAGUGUAGUAGGGGCAGAGGGAAUUCCUGGUGUAGCGGUGAAAUGCGUAGAGAUCAGGAAGAACACCGGUGGCGAAGGCGCUCUGCUGGGCUAUAACUGACACUGAGGGACGAAAGCUAGGGGAGCGAAUGGG
rnacentral:rRNA from 1 species